rnacentral:sRNA from 1 species
AUCGAAUAAACUUGAACAGGCUGUUGCUGGUCCCAGGACAAUGUGCACGCUUGUCAUCUUUGUCAUUUCUCCAACUGUGCACGUAUUGUAGACCUUGGGAUGGAAUUCGUUCCGAGUGGGGACUGCUGUGCUUCAAAAGAGGUCGGCUUUCCCUUCUUCCAAGUCUAUGUCAUUUCUCUUGAACAAAAAUGUGUUUAGAAUGAAAUAAAAGUUAUUAAAAACAACUUUCAGCAACGGAUCUCUUGGCUCUCGCAUCGAUGAAGAACGCAGCGAAAUGCGAUAAGUAAUGUGAAUUGCAGAAUUCAGUGAAUCAUCGAAUCUUUGAACGGCCUGUUUGAGUGUCAUUUAAACCUCUCAACACCACAUUGAUUCAUUUCGACGUGGCUUUGGACGUGGGGGCUUUUGCGGGCUUUCUUUGCAGAGUCUGCUCCCCUGAAAUGCAUCAGUGGUGUCUGGAGCGGAAACCGCUAGGUGUGAUAACAUCAUCUACGCCUUUGGUAUGCCGCGCAUGUGCUGCUUCCAAUGCACGAUUCUUGACAAACUUGACCUCAAAUC